AGUGAACGCUGGCGGCGUGCUUAACACAUGCAAGUCGAACGAGAACGGGUUAUAGCUUGCUAUAAUUGUCAGCUAAGUGGCGCACGGGUGAGUAAUGUAUAGGUAAUAUGCCUCUUACUAAGGGAUAACAAAUGGAAACGUUUGCUAAUACCUUAUACUCCUUAUUAACAUAAGUUAAUAAGGGAAAGAUUUAUUGGUAAGAGAUUAGCCUGUAUUGUAUCAGUUAGUUGGUGGGGAAAUGGCUUACCAAGACUAUGACACAUAACUGGUUUGAGAGGAUGAUCAGUCACACUGGAACUGGGACACGGUCCAGACUCCUACGGGGGGCAGCAGUGGGGAAGAUUGCACAAUGGACGAAAGUCUGAUGCAGCAACGCCGCGUGGAGGAUGACACAUUCGGUGCGUAAACUCCUUUUAUAUGAGAAGAUAAUGAUGGUAUUAUAUGAAUAAGCACCGGCUAACUCCGUGCCAGCCGCCGCCGUAA
rnacentral:rRNA from 1 species